rnacentral:rRNA from 1 species
CGGCAGGCCUAACACAUGCAAGUCGAGCGGUAGCACAAGAGAGCUUGCUCUCUGGGUGACGAGCGGCGGACGGGUGAGUAAUGUCUGGGAAACUGCCUGAUGGCGGGGGAUAACUAGUGGAAACGGUAGCUAAUACCGCAUAACGUCGCAAGACCAAAGUGGGGGACCUUCGGGCCUCACGCCAUCAGAUGUGCCCAGGUGGGAUUAGCUGGUAGGUGGGGUAACGGCUCACCUAGGCGACGAUCCCUAGCUGGUCUGAGAGGAUGACCAGCCACACUGGAACUGAGACACGGUCCAGACUCCUACGGGAGGCAGCAGUGGGGAAUAUUGCACAAUGGGCGCAAGCCUGAUGCAGCCAUGCCGCGUGUGUGAAGAAGGCCUUCGGGUUGUAAAGCAC